GGUCUAUUAGUCUAGUUGGUUAGGACGUCGGAUUCUGAUUUUCAGGACCUUCCGUAGGCCCAGGUUCGAAUCCUGGAUGGACCU
rnacentral:tRNA from 1 species